UACGUAGGGUGCAAGCGUUAAUCGGAAUUACUGGGCGUAAAGCGUGCGCAGGCGGUUUUGUAAGUCUGAUGUGAAAUCCCCGGGCUCAACCUGGGAAUUGCAUUGGAGACUGCAAGGCUAGAAUCUGGCAGAGGGGGGUAGAAUUCCACGUGUAGCAGUGAAAUGCGUAGAGAUGUGGAGGAACACCGAUGGCGAAGGCAGCCCCCUGGGUCAAGAUUGGACGCUCA
rnacentral:rRNA from 1 species